UUAAAUUGAAGAGUUUGAUCAUGGCUCAGAUUGAACGCUGGCGGCAGGCCUAACACAUGCAAGUCGAACGGUAACAGAAAGCAGCUUGCUGCUUUGCUGACGAGUGGCGGACGGGUGAGUAAUGUCUGGGAAACUGCCUGAUGGAGGGGGAUAACUACUGGAAACGGUAGCUAAUACCGCAUAACGUCGCAAGACCAAAGAGGGGGACCUUCGGGCCUCUUGCCAUCGGAUGUGCCCAGAUGGGAUUAGCUUGUUGGUGGGGUAACGGCUCACCAAGGCGAC
rnacentral:rRNA from 1 species